GGGUUGUGAGGUUAAGCGACUAAGCGUACACGGUGGAUGCCCUGGUAGUCAGAGGCGAUGAAGGGCGUGCUAAUCUGCGAUAAGCGCCGGUAAGGUGAUAUGAACCGUUAUAACCGGCGAUACCCGAAUGGGGAAACCCAGUGUGAUUCGUCACACUAUCAUUAACUGAAUCCAUAGGUUAAUGAGGCGAACCGGGGGAACUGAAACAUCUAAGUACCCCGAGGAAAAGAAAUCAACCGAGAUUCCCCCAGUAGCGGCGAGCGAACGGGGAGGAGCCCAGAGCCUGAAUCAGCAUGUGUGUUAGUGGAAGCGUCUGGAAAGGCGCGCGAUACAGGGUGACAGCCCCGUACACAAAAGCGCAUGUGCUGUGAGCUCGAUGAGUAGGGCGGGACACGUGGUAUCCUGUCUGAAUAUGGGGGGACCAUCCUCCAAGGCUAAAUACUCCUGACUGACCGAUAGUGAACCAGUACCGUGAGGGAAAGGCGAAAAGAACCCCGGCGAGGGGAGUGAAAAAGAACCUGAAACCGUGUACGUACAAGCAGUGGGAGCCCCACCACUAAGCCAGUGGUGAACUCCACAUCCGCAUCCUUUGCUGAGGAUACGGUUAACGGAGCGAAAGCGACGUUCAACCGCAAAACAAGCAGAGGGGGCUUAG
rnacentral:rRNA from 1 species